ACAAAGGGACAACAAGGUAUUUUUUCUUACAAUUCUUCUUAAUUAAAUGUAUAAACUUCAGUAUUUUUUUUAGAAAACAAGACUUGAUAUAUUUUUGCUUCUCAAGUAAAUGUCUUGUUUUAGUAUUGUUUAAAUAUCUGUACUAGUAAGCAAGACAAAAAUACUGUGUAAGAAAAUCAUUUUUUGUUGCUCUGAUUUUAUCACCUGUUUUGUUACAUAUUUGUUUUAUCCUCAUCUCUUUUACUUCCUGCAGUUGGGUAUAUUCGCACUUUCAUCAGUCAUCUGAAUGCAGUAAAGCAUUUAUCCAGUCAAAUCUUCUCCCUCGAAAUCUCAUUUCUGCAAACACCUUUAGGAAUGAUAUGUACUCUUUGCUUCGAUGCUCAUCCCAUGGAUGCAGAACAUUAACGGCAAAGUCCUGAAUGCACAAAGGUAUCAGUAUGAAAAGCUUCCGAGGGCAGGGGGGGUCUUUGCACCAGCAUCUCAACCCACCGAUGCAGCUCUUCAAAUGGAGAUCAGUUCUCUGCAGCACACGUGUGGAGCCGCAGAGCUGUGGGUUUUCAUUGGUGGACAGGAAUACAGAUCAAAGAACAAAGCAUGUCUGACCGUACCGACCUUCAAAUAUGCAUAAACAUACUAUUACUCACAAGUACCCAAACAUAUUUAUAGAAUCAAGAUCGCAUGUUCUGGAUUGGUCCUGAAAGUCCUAAAAAAUGAAAUGCUGCUUAUUUGUUGAUUGCAAACCUAUAGGUCAGACUAGUGGUUUUAUUUUCUGUUCCAUUUUCAAUGAGGUUUAGUUUUUAUAACCUUGUUAACAAAAUUUGGAAAAUGUAAAUGUACAGUUUAAAACUUAAACUAAAAUAAAAACUGAAAAUAUAAAAAUAAAAGGCCAUUAUAAAUAUUAAAUAAACAUCAAAAUAGACCAAAUUUAUCAAGUUAUAAAAUAAUGGAACAAAUACACUAGAAUUAUUAUCAAGGUUGCAUAUGUAGCCGAAAUUAAGCAGCCAUGCUAGUGUUGAUCAAAAUGUUUAUUAAUAGAAUUAAAUUAACUACAACCAGGUUGGAUUUGAUGCAUACAGGGAAUACAACUAUACUUAUAAAAAUUGAGGAAUUAUUUACUUAUUUGAUGUUAAAUUGUUCAAGAACAUUGAUUCAAUUAUGGUUGAUGUUGGAUACCAUUAACAAGGUCAUGACCUCUGAUGUGGGACAUGCAAAAUUACCAUUUGAUGAAGGGUAUAUUACAUAUCUAAUACUGGUAAUGCUUCUAAAAAGUCGUGAAACACUAAAGUGAAGUGUGUUUUUGGAGAGUACCAAAUGCAGGUCUGGAUGACCUUUCAAAACAGCAUUUAUGACUUCAAAUCAGGAGAUAAAGUUAAGAGCCCCUUCAUCCUGCUGAUAUCAACACAGUACUUUUCCAGAAUCGUGUAGGCUAUUUAUUCAUUUUUAUUGUCUUAUUUUACUCCAAUUGUUUUACCUCAACAACCCGCUGCCUUUGUUCCUCUGUCUGCUUGCCUCUUGUACAGUUUAAAGAGAAGACUACACAGCUACGGUAUUUAUACAGAAAGUGUGUAUUUAUUUUCCAAUAAAGAUAAAAUGCAGAA
ensembl:lncRNA